rnacentral:misc_RNA from 1 species
UUUCCGUAGGUGAACCUGCGGAAGGAUCAUUGUAGGAUUGUUUUGGGAGGGGUGGUUGUGAUUUGUGGGGAUGGUGUGGGGUUGUUUGGAUUGCCUGGAUUGUCUGGCUGUCUGCAACUCGACUCUUCUCAUCACAACCUCUCUUUACAUUGGCACAGAGCAGUGGUCUUGUGUUUAGCGCACAGACUCGAUCUGAUGUUUGGAGCACAGACUCAGUCUGAUGUUUGCGCUUGCUCGUUUGGCAGAAACAGUACCAUAUCAUUGCAAAACUUUUAACAAUGGAUCUCUUGGCUCUU